UAUUCCUUCCUCCCGAGCAGAACAAAAUCCGAUCUGGCUACCACCCACCGAGCGCUGCGUAGGUUGGCGUCAUGGCGCCCCAUAAGUUCUCCCCCGCGCGUGGUCUCCGUCGUGCUCUAGGACAAGCGCCAUCCCUGGCCCCGAGCUCCAACCCUGAUCUCCGACCAUAAUCUGCUGCUCGACCAGAUCUGGGGAUCCCCGCGGCGGUUGCGGAAGAAGAUAGACCCACGCCCGCCCAAAGCGUCAUGGCCUGCUUUGUUCGAUUCCUCCCGCCGCCUGCUGCCCGGUCCUUCCGCGUGAUCCUAGGCUUCCAAGCGCCGCCAAAUUAGGUGAAUCCCGAAGUUUAAGAUUAAAGCUUCACGCACAUGCCCGCGAGAAUCUGAGGUGCUCCGCGAGAAUAUGAGGGAUUCCAGUUGCUGGAUUUGAUCCCUUGGCAGAUUCUCCAUCCCGAUGUGCUCCGGUGAGCCGCUCGUGCCGCAGGGCGCUCGCCUGCGCGAGUGCGCGAGGCCCGUAUUGGCUCAGCUCAUUGCCGGUGCCUCCUCCCGCAUCUUCUUCUCCACCUCCGCCUUCCAUGGCGACCGCGCGGACCUGGAGGUUGUUAGGUUGUCGUCUCUAUAUCACGAGGUGGAGCAGGGAAAGUUGCCUGACCCCGUGUAGUACCUGGUUGGAGGUGGUCAGGCUCUCGUCUCUGUACCCUCUGGCCUCUGCUGCCCGGCUCCCCGCAUGCAAAGUUCAAUGGUUCAAUGAAAGGAGUUCGAGAAGGCACAAACAGGUUGGUCAAUCUUCUGGCCUACAAGCGAACAUCAUUGGGCAGCGACAUCUCCGCCAGACUAAAUGAGAAUUGCCUGCAGAAUCUGAGAUUUCUCAAUCCAGACGUGCAGGUAAUGCUCACUUAGGUGUCAUGGAAUUGCAGAUUCCAUCUUUGAGUGCUCGGAUUCUUUAUUAGGUGCUAAAACGUACUGCAGGGUGGAAAAUCAAGCUGCAAACUUAUAUUGGAAAUAUAGCUGAAAACGGAGAAACAAUUGGUUAGCAUUCUGAAAACUUACCCUACACUAUCAGCGUCUGCUGACGUUGUGCUGCCAGAGAAUUACUACUUGCCAUAACAUUCCUGAAUUCAAGCACCUGUCGUUUUAGUUUGAAGUACCUGUUGUCUGACGAACUUAUUGUUUUAUGAUUCUCUUUAUGAAUUGUUUGACGCUACUCUGAGAAGCUUCUAAAUUACUUCAGAGCUGGGGAGGCUAGCACAUGUAUUUCCCUGCAAUGCCGACGCCGGCAAGGAGAUCAGGCUUUGUCUACCAGCAGCUCAACAUCUCACCCAGGACAGCAAUACUCAAACCUUUGGUCGUCCUCGUCGUACUCCCGCACGCGCCAAUGUGGGCCAGGCCCAGCGAUACUCAAACCUUUGCUAUAGGGUGUCUGAUAUUGUGCAGAAGGAAUGCUCUCGUUAUUUUUACAUGAACGUGCUCAGCUCGGCUUCUCGGUUAUUCUCGUGUGUUAAAUUUUUGUAGAUUUAUUUUCUUUUGCAGGAGACCAGGUUUGAGAGGUUUGUCGGGAGAGAGGAUUUCUUCAUUGGACUAGGUGGUCAUAUUUUUCUGCUCAGCAGGGAGAGGAAAUCAGUUUGAUUAUGUCCGCAGCAAAGUCCAAGAUAUGGAAUGGCUGCUUGAAACGAAUUGGACCGAGUAAGAAUGAUUCUGAACAACAUGGGUUCUUGGUUUACUUGUUGCUAUAAUUCCUCACUUCUCUGUUGAACCUUGUUUGCACUGGUUUGCACACAUGUGAGAGUGGUUGUGUUGUCUACCAAUGCUAGAAGUACAGACACCAUCUUCAAGAACUAUAAUAUUUCAUUGUUUUACUGCUUGGACCAAAUUCGGUUAUGUUUUAAUUGUUGGGACAAUUCAUCCUGAUUUAUGCUCUUAAACCAGAUUUCGGUGACAAGUGAUGUUUUUGAAUCAAUUCUCCAUAACGAUUUAAAAUCCCAGUGAAUGUUCUUGAGUUUUAUGUUAUGAGCUAUGUUCCUAUAUUUUGCGGACUCAAUAGAAGAAGCAAGCUGAUGUAGAUGUUCUUUGUCACUAUUCACAAUAUGAUAUGGUGUGCAUCGGUGAGGGAAUUCGCCCCACUGAUCUCCGGUUGUGUCUUAUGAAGUGUGGCAGAGAUAAUGGCAGAGAACAUUGAUGAGAUGUAGGAAGAAGUAAGAGGAGUCUUUGUCUUCCUGUGUGUGGUGGUGUGGAAAGAGACAUGUAACAAGGAGCCAAGGAGGGAGAGAAUCAAGUGGGUGCACGGUGUUGCCUGUAGUGGCAAGAAAGAAGUGGUAAUUCAUUGCAAGUCAAAAGUGGAGCUGAAGCAUAAGCCUGGAAGCUUUGAUUGCUGUUUAAUACAUCGUGUGUUAUCAGUAUUGUUUUUUAAUUUAUGGAUUUGUCCGAGUAACGAUCUUUAUGGGACUAAUUGGUCCAAAGAAUAUAACUAUUUUUUCGCUAUAUUGCUGAAUGCCCAGUUUCUUGCAUUCUUUAUGGACACAUGUACACAUAAGAU